rnacentral:misc_RNA from 1 species
AGCAGCCGCGGUAAUUCCAGCUCCAAUAGCGUAUAUUAAAGUUGUUGCAGUUAAAAAGCUCGUAGUUGAAUUUCGGGAUCAGUUGGUCGGUCGUGCCUCGGUACGUACUGGUCAAAUUGAUUCCUACCUUCUGACGAACCACGAUGUCAUUAAUUUGGUGUCGCGGGAAAUCAGGACUGUUACCUUGAAAAAAUUAGAGUGUUUAAAGCAGGCUCGCGCUUGAAUACAUUAGCAUGGAAUAAUGAAAUAGGACGUUUGAUUCUAUUUUGUUGGUUUCUAGGAUCGACGUAAUGAUUAAUAGGGAUAGUUGGGGGCAUUAGUAUUCAAUUGUCAGAGGUGAAAUUCUUGGAUUUAUUGAAGACUAACUACUGCGAAAGCAUUUGCCAAGGAUGUUUUCAUUAAUCAAGGACGAAAGUUAGGGGAUCGAAGACGAUCAGAUACCGUCGUAGUCUUAACCAUAAACUAUGCCGACUAGGGAUCGGAUGAUGUUAAUUUUUUAAUGACUCAUUCGGCGCCUUAC